GAUGAACGCUGGCGGCGUGCCUAAUACAUGCAAGUCGAGCGAACAGACGAGGAGCUUGCUCCUCUGACGUUAGCGGCGGACGGGUGAGUAACACGUGGAUAACCUACCUAUAAGACUGGGAUAACUUCGGGAAACCGGAGCUAAUACCGGAUAAUAUAUUGAACCGCAUGGUUCAAUAGUGUAAGACGGUUUUGCUUUCACUUAUAGAUGGCUCCGCGCCGCAUUAGCUAGUUGGUAAGGUAACGGCUUACCAAGGCAACGAUGCGUAGACGACCUGAGAGGGUGAUCGGCCACACUGGAACUGAGACACGGUCCAGACUCCUACGGGAGGCAGCAGUAGGGAAUCUUCCGCAAUGGGCGAAAGCUUGACGGAGCAACGCCGCGUGAGUGAUGAAGGUCUUCGGAUCGUAAAACUCUGUUAUUAGGGAAGAACAAAUGUGUAAGUAACUAUGCACGUCUUGACGGUACCUAAUCAGAAAGCCACGGCUAACUACGUG
rnacentral:rRNA from 1 species